rnacentral:rRNA from 1 species
UACGUAGGGUGCGAGCGUUGUCCGGAAUUAUUGGGCGUAAAGAGCUUGUAGGCGGUUUGUCGCGUCUGCUGUGAAAAUCCGGGGCUCAACCCCGGACUUGCAGUGGGUACGGGCAGGCUAGAGUGUUGCAGGGGAGACUGGAAUUCCUGGUGUAGCGGUGAAAUGCGCAGAUAUCAGGAGGAACACCGGUGGCGAAGGCGGGUCUCUGGGCAACAACUGACGCUGAGGAGCGAAAGCGUGGGGAGCGAACAGG